GCUGUUUGUGUGUGUGUAUUGCUGUCUGUGUGUGUGUGUAUAUGGCUGUCUCUGUGUGUAUAUUGCUGUCUGUGUGCACGGCUGUGUGUGUGUGUGUGUAUGGCUGUGUGUGUGUAUGCAUGGCUGUGUGUGUGCAUGGCUGUCUCUGUGUGUGUAUUGCUGUCUGUGUGUGUGUGGCUGUCUCUGUGUAUGGCUGUCUGUGUGCAUGGCUGUCUGUGUGUAUGUGUGUGUGUGUAUGGCUGUAUGUGUGUAUAUUGCUGUCUGUGUGUAUAGAUGUGUGUGUUUGUGUGUGUG